GCGAACGCUGGCGGCGUGCUUAACACAUGCAAGUCGAGCGGUAAGGCCCUUUCGGGGGUACACGAGCGGCGAACGGGUGAGUAACACGUGGGUGACCUGCCCUCAGCUCUGGGAUAAGCCUGGGAAACUGGGUCUAAUACUGGAUAUGACUCCACGGUGCAUGUCGUGGGGUGGAAAGCCUUGUGCGGCUGAGGAUGGGCCCGCGGCCUAUCAGCUUGUUGGUGGGGUGANGGCCUACCAAGGCGACGACGGGUAGCCGGCCUGAGAGGGCGACCGGCCACACUGGGACUGAGACACGGCCCAGACUCCUACGGGAGGGCAGCAGUGGGGAAUCUUGCGCAAUGGGCGAAAGCCUGACGCAGCGACGCCGCGUGAGGGAUGACGGCCUCGGUUGU
rnacentral:rRNA from 1 species